rnacentral:rRNA from 1 species
CCUACGGGUGGCAGCAGUGAGGAAUAUUGGUCAAUGGACGAGAGUCUGAACCAGCCAAGUAGCGUGAAGGAUGACUGCCCUAUGGGUUGUAAACUUCUUUUAUAUGGGAAUAAAAUGUUCCACGUGUGGGAUUUUGUAUGUACCAUAUGAAUAAGGAUCGGCUAAAUCCGUGCCAGCAGCCGCGGUAAUACGGAGGAUCCGAGCGUUAUCCGGAUUUAUUGGGUUUAAAGGGAGCGUAGGUGGAUUGUUAAGUCAGUUGUGAAAGUUUGCGGCUCAACCGUAACAUUGCAGUUGAAACUGGCAGUCUGGAGUACAGUAGAGGUGGGCGGAAUUCGUGGUGUAGCGGUGAAAUGCUUAGAUAUCACGAAGAACUCCGAUUGCGAAGGCAGCUCACUGGACUGCAACUGACACUGAGGCUCGAAAGUGUGGGUAUCAAACAGGAUUAGAUACCCCAGUAGUC